rnacentral:rRNA from 1 species
UACGGAGGGGACUAGCGUUGUUCGGAAUUACUGGGCGUAAAGCGCGCGUAGGCGGAUUGGUAAGUCAGGGGUGAAAUCCCGGGGCUCAACCUCGGAACUGCCUUUGAUACUGCAAAGCUCGAGUCCGGAAGAGGUGAGUGGAAUUCCUAGUGUAGAGGUGAAAUUCGUAGAUAUUAGGAAGAACACCAGUGGCGAAGGCGGCUCACUGGUCCGGUACUGACGCUGAGGUGCGAAAGCGUGGGGAGCAAACAGG